GUUAAUACAUCUGAAUCUCAAAGGUACCAGAUCGUAUCUGAUCUCAGAAGCUAAGCAAGAUCAGAUCAGGUUUGUACUUGGAAGGAGAACCACCAAGGAAUAUCAGGUUCUGUGGGCU
rnacentral:rRNA from 1 species